rnacentral:rRNA from 1 species
AUUGAACGCUGGCGGCAUGCUUUACACAUGCAAGUCGAACGGUAACAGGGUGCUUGCACCGCUGACGAGUGGCGAACGGGUGAGUAAUGCGUCGGAACGUGCCGAGUAGUGGGGGAUAACGCAGCGAAAGUUGUGCUAAUACCGCAUACGUACUGAGGUAGAAAGUGGGGGACCUUCGGGCCUCACGCUAUUCGAGCGACCGACGUCUGAUUAGCUAGUAGGUGAGGUAAAGGCUCACCUAGGCGACGAUCAGUAGCGGGUCUGAGAGGAUGAUCCGCCACACUGGGACUGAGACACGGCCCAGACUCCUACGGGAGUCAGCAGUGGGGAAUUUUGGACAAUGGGCGAAAGCCUGAUCCAGCCACGCCGCGUGUCUGAAGAAGGCCUUCGGGUUGUAAAGGACUUUUGUCGGGGAGGAAAUCCCCAGCGUUAAUACCGCUGGGGGAUGACAGUACCUGAAGAAUAAGCACCGGCUAACUACGUGCCAGCCGCCGCCGUAA